GACCCCCUUACUCACAUAUGAGCUUCUGGUAUGUUUAACAAACUCACACGCAUCGCAGUUCAGCUUGCUCUUGUCCACACCACUCAUUACAUCAGGAAAUACUUGAUGCAUUUUGUCAAAAGACACAUGCCCCAUCCUACAGUGAUGGAUUAGGGCUCUAGUCACCUUACCCUCAGCCACUGCAGCUAGAAUGUGCAUUCUCUCCAGGGCCGCCUUGUUGCGGUCCAUGUACCACAGCCCCCUACACCUCGCUUCAGUCUCAAGACUCCUGCACGUCAAUCUCUCCUAAAUCAAGCACACAACUUUGUAAAAUUAUUCGGCAAUCAAUUUGGUCAAUCUAAGCACUCAGCACACUAAGUUGACGGGAAAAGCUGACACAUGCCAUACUGAGGAUAAUUCAAUACUCAGGUGUGCAGCUGGCUGUCCCAACACCUUUGAUUGGUUGGGCUGUGCAAUAUACUCUGUAAAUGGUUUUCUGAUGUGUAAGGGAGUGUGGAAUAUAGGAUGUUAACUCAUAAAAGUCUCCAGCAACAUGUUGUGAUGCUCCAGAGU
rnacentral:lncRNA from 1 species